rnacentral:misc_RNA from 1 species
GGGUGUGAGAGCUUUGUAGUCUUCCAAAAAUUUCUCUAUCCUUGCUUGAUUUUCCUUUUCUUUUCUGUCUGCCCUGUGGAGAUGAUAAAGUGCAAUGAAGGCUACUAGCAGAAGAAAUGAACCCAGGGUUGCACCUGCAAUUAUUAACUUGGUUGAGGCACCACUGGUUCUUGGGGUAAUAUGACUCAUCUUGCACAAUUCAGUGCCAUCACUCUUUAAUUCACAUCUUCCUCCGCCUGCUUCACACAAUCCACAAGCUGGUUUGGACCACGUCAAUUGAAUAAUAUUUCUUGAGGCAU